UACGUAGGGGGCAAGCGUUGUCCGGAAUUAUUGGGCGUAAAGGGCGCGUAGGCGGCCCGCUAAGUCGAACGUGAAAUCCCCGAGCUCAACUCGGGAACUGCGUCCGAUACUACCGUGCUCGAGGGAGAUAGAGGUGAGCGGAACUUAGGGUGGAGCGGUGAAAUGCGUUGAUAUCCUAAGGAACACCGGUGGCGAAAGCGGCUCACUGGAUCUCUUCUGACGCUGAG
rnacentral:rRNA from 1 species